GGGGAUGUAGCUCAGUGGUAGAGCAUUUGCCUCACAAGCAUAAGGCACUGGUUUCAACACCU
rnacentral:tRNA from 1 species